AAUUGGGUCGCCAAAUACUAGGGGUGUGACGAGAUCUCGUGCCACGAGAUCUCGCGAGAUUUAACUCGACGAUAUUACCCGUCGCGUUAAAAAUCGGUCUCGCGAGAUUUGUGAUUUAUGCUAACUUCUAUUUGUCGCCUGUGGGGGCAGUAAUGCGCCUUUGCUACAUCUAGCCUGCCAGAACCUAAAGAAGGAGAAGGAGGAGAAGCAGGGGAAGCAUCGAAAGCAGCCAUAAGCUGUGUUCGAAAUCGUUCCCUAUCACGGAUAUAGUGUUCUAUAUAGGGUGCUCGCCAUUUUGUAGUGGUGUUCGAAUUCUCAGUGGUUAAUUUCAUGCACUAUAUAGUGCACUUAAAAUACCCAAAAUUUGAGUGUACAUACGAUGUAGCCUACAUGUUACUCCCGUAUACCACAAUGCAAUGCGGUCGUGUUUUUCCGGAGGAGAAGAAGAGGCUGAAUAACCGCGAAAACAAAUACAUUUAAUCCAAGUACAUUUUUGGUACUUUGAUUUGGUUUUGCACAUAAUAUUGUUUGCACUUGAAAAAAAGAGAAUUAUUUAAUUUAAUUUAUUUUAAUUUAACUUUUAUAAAUUUUAGUUUUAGUUUCAAUUUCAUGCAUGUAAAGAGUAAGUUUUCUUAAAAUCUCGUCUGGUCUCGUUCUCGUGAACCCAAUAUCGUGUCUCGUCUCGUGAGCCGAGUGUAUCGUCACACCCCUACCAAAUAUUUAAAUAAGUCAAAAUAAGAUCUCCUUAAUACAAGAUUACCAUCAGUUCUUACACAUACACAAGAGAAAAAAAUAAGAAAAACAACAUGUCAUGGACACCUGGGUCGCAGCGCCUUGCCAAGCCGUCUUUUGGAAUCCGUUUUAAAACAACCCUUUUUUUCAGACCCUUGUUUUUCUGCCUUACAUUUAGAAAAAAUGUAUUCAACCCGACAACACGAGUGAUUUCAGAAGCACCGAUUCCAUUAGCUACAUGAAUCAAUUAUAUCCC